rnacentral:rRNA from 1 species
GAUGAACGCUGGCGGCGUGCUUAACACAUGCAAGUCGAACGGAGAUAUCAUUUUCGAAGCGAUUAGUUUACUAAGAGCGGAGAUGUUGCUAUCUUAGUGGCGGACGGGUGAGUAACGCGUGGGUAACCUGCCUUACACUGGGGGAUAACACUUAGAAAUAGGUGCUAAUACCGCAUAACAGGAGAAGAUGCAUGUCUUUUCCUUAAAAACUCCGGUGGUGUAAGAUGGACCCGCGUCUGAUUAGCUUGUUGGCGGGGUAACGGCCCACCAAGGCAGCGAUCAGUAGCCGGCCUGAGAGGGUGAACGGCCACAUUGGGACUGAGACACGGCCCAA